AGUUGGUGAGGUAAAAGCUCACCAAGGCGACGAUCUGUAGCGGGUCUGAGAGGAUGAUCCGCCACACUGGAACUGAGACACGGUCCAGACUCCUACGGGAGGCAGCAGUGGGGAAUUUUGGACAAUGGGGGCAACCCUGAUCCAGCCAUGCCGCGUGAGUGAAGAAGGCCUUCGGGUUGUAAAGCUCUUUCAGCCGGGAAGAAAACGCAUGGGUUAAUACCCUGUGUGGAUGACGGUACCGGAAUAAGAAGCACCGGCUAACUACGUGCCAGCAGCCGCGGUAAUACGUAGGGUGCGAGCGUUAAUCGGAAUUACUGGGCGUAAAGCGUGCGCAGGCGGUUUUGUAAGACAGGCGUGAAAUCCCCGGGCUUAACCUGGGAACUGCGUUUGUGACUGCAAGGCUAGAGUACGGCAGAGGGGGGUGGAAUUCCACGUGUAGCAGUGAAAUGCGUAGAGAUGUGGAGGAACACCAAUGGCGAAGGCAGCCCCCUGGGUCGAUACUGACGCUCAUGCACGAAAGCGUGGGUAGCAAACAGGAUUAGAUACCCUGGUAGUCCACGCCCUAAACGAUGUCAACUAGGUGUUGGGAGGGUAAAACCUUUUAGUACCGGAGCUAACGCGUGAAGUUGACCGCCUGGGGAGUACGGCCGCAAGGUUAAAACUCAAAGGAAUUGACGGGGACCCGCACAAGCGGUGGAUGAUGUGGAUUAAUUCGAUGCAACGCGAAAAACCUUACCUACCCUUGACAUGCCAAGAACUUUCCAGAGAUGGAUUGGUGCCCGAAAGGGAACUUGGACACAGGUGCUGCAUGGCUGUCGUCAGCUCGUGUCGUGAGAUGUUGGGUUAAGUCCCGCAACGAGCGCAACCCUUGUCGUUAAUUGCCAUCAUUUAGUUGGGCACUUUAACGAGACUGCCGGUGACAAACCGGAGGAAGGUGGGGAUGACGUCAAGUCCUCAUGGCCCUUAUGGGUAGGGCUUCACACGUCAUACAAUGGUCGGUACAAAGGGUCGCCAAGCCGCGAGGUGGAGCCAAUCCCAGAAAGCCGAUCGUAGUCCGGAUCGCAGUCUGCAACUCGACUGCGUGAAGUCGGAAUCGCUAGUAAUCGUGGAUCAGCAUGUCACGGUGAAUACGUUCCCGGGUCUUGUACACACCGCCCGUCACACCAUGGGAGCGGGUUCCGCCAGAAGUAGGUAGCCUAACCGCAAGGAGGGCGCUUACCACGGCGGGGUUCGUGACUGGGGUGAAGUCGAAACAAGGUAGCCGUAGGGGGAACCUGCGGCUG
rnacentral:rRNA from 1 species